rnacentral:rRNA from 1 species
GUCGAACGGGGGCGUGAUGUGCGAGAGGGAUAGUUUACUAGACUUCAAACUUUUCACGCCCUAGUGGCGGACGGGUGAGUAACGCGUGGGUAACCUGCCAUAUACAGGGGGAUAACACUUAGAAAUAGGUGCUAAUACCGCAUAAGCGCACAGGGGCGCAUGCCCCGGUGUGAAAAACUCCGGUGGUAUAUGAUGGACCCGCGUCUGAUUAGCCAGUUGGCAGGGUAACGGCCUACCAAAGCGACGAUCAGUAGCCGGCCUGAGAGGGCGGACGGCCACAUUGGGACUGAGACACGGCCCAAACUCCUACGGGAGGCAGCAGUGGGGGAUAUUGCACAAUGGGGGAAACCCUGAGGGGGGGGCGCAAAAAAAAUGAAGAAGUAUUUCGCCUCCCUAAAGCUCUAUCAGCAGGGAAGAAAAUGACAGUACCUGACCAAGAAGCCCCGGCUAACUACGUGCCAGCAGCCGCGGUAAUACGUAGGGGGCAAGCGUUAUCCGGAUUUACUGGGUGUAAAGGGAGCGUAGACGGUUAUGUAAGUCUGGAGUGAAAGCCCGGGGCCCAACCCCGGGACUGCUUUGGAAACUGUGUAACUGGAGUACAGGAGGGGCAGGCGGAAUUCCUGGUGUAGCGGUGAAAGGGGUAGAUCUCAGGGGGAACACCGGCGGCGAAGGCGGCCUGCUGGACUGAAACUGACGUUGAGGCUCGAAAGCGGGGG